UACGUAGGGGGCAAGCGUUGUCCGGAAUUAUUGGGCGUAAAGCGCGCGCAGGCGGUCCUUUAAGUCUGAUGUGAAAGCCCACGGCUCAACCGUGGAGGGUCAUUGGAAACUGGGGGACUUGAGUGCAGAAGAGGAGAGUGGAAUUCCACGUGUAGCGGUGAAAUGCGUAGAGAUGUGGAGGAACACCAGUGGCGAAGGCGACUCUCGUGGUCUGCAACUGACGCUGAGGCGCGAAAGCGUGGGGAGCGAACAGG
rnacentral:rRNA from 1 species